CACGCGGCUGCGGCAACACGUGUGCACUGCCUUUAUCUGGGGGAUAGCCUUUCGAAAGGAAGAUUAAUACCCCAUAAUAUGUUGGAUGGCAUCAUUCGACAUUGAAAACUCCGGUGGAUAGAGAUGGGCACGCGCAAGAUUAGAUAGUUGGUGAGGUAACGGCUCACCAAGUCUACGAUCUUUAGGGGGCCUGAGAGGGUGAUCCCCCACACUGGUACUGAGACACGGACCAGACUCCUACGGGAGGCAGCAGUGAGGAAUAUUGGACAAUGGGUGAGAGCCUGAUCCAGCCAUCCCGCGUGAAGGACGACUGCCCUAUGGGUUGUAAACUUCUUUUGUAUAGGGAUAAACCUACCCUCGUGAGGGUAGCUGAAGGUACUAUACGAAUAAGCACCGGCUAACUCCGUGCCAGCAGCCGCGGUAAAUACGGAGGGUGCAAGCGUUAUCCGGAUUUAUNGGGUUUAAAGGGUCCGUAGGCGGAUCUGUAAGUCAGGGGUGAAAUCUCACAGUUAAUGUGAAACUGCCAUUUGAUACCUGGCAGGGUCUUGAGAAGUUGGUCGAAAGUAGCUGGAAUAAGGUAAGUGGUAACGGUGGAAAUGC
rnacentral:rRNA from 1 species